rnacentral:lncRNA from 1 species
ACCCUGCCUACAGUCUACACUUACCUCUCAUCUCUGAUCUAUAUUAGCAAUAAGAAUUGAGUUUCUUAGCCCAGGCACGGUCACUCAUGCCUAUAAUCCCAGCAUUUUGGGAGGCCGAGGUGGGCUGAGGUCAGAAGUUCAACACCAGCCUGGCCAAGAUGGUGAAACCCCAUCUCUACUAAAAAUACAAAAAUUAGCCAGAUGUGGUGGUGCAAGCCUGUAAUCUCAGCUACUCGGGAGGUUGAGGCUGGAGAAUUGCUUGAACCUGGGAGGAGGAGGUUGCAGUGAGCCAAGAUUGUGCCACUAUACUCCAGUCUGGGUGACAGAGCAAGACUCCGUCUCAAAAAAAAAAAGACUAGAGUUUCUCAGAAUGAGUUCUGUGGACCACAGGCAUUGCUAUGGUUUGAAUGUGUCCCUUUUAAAAUUCAGGUAUUGCCAAUUUGGUAGUAUUACAUGGUGGGGCCUUUAAGAGGUGAGUAGGCUAUGAGGGUUCCUUUCUUGUGAAGGGGGUUGGUGCCCUUACAAGAGGAUGGGAUGGUGGGAGUUUAUCUCUUUUCUCCCUUUUGCCUUGCAUCAUGUGAAGACACAGCAUUUAUCCUGUCCAUAGGGCACAGACUUCAAGAUGUCAUCUUGGAAGCAGAGACUGGACCUUCACCAGACUCAAAACCUACCAGUACCUUGAUCCUAAACGUCUUUCCCGGCUCCAGAACUGUGAGAAAAAAGAAGAAAGAAAGGGAAGAAUAA